UUGCUGAGGCAGCACAUUUACUAAGAUUGAAACAGUACAGAGAAGAUUGGCAUGGCCCCUGUGAAAGGAUGAUGCAUAAAUUCUUCAAGUGUUCCCUUUUUCU